UGAAUACGAGACGCUACGGCGUCGAAGCAGUCUAUGUCAUACUUCCAAGAAAAGCUUGCACUGUCAUAAACAAAUAAUGCCUGUACCAUAACCGACACAGGUGGGUAGGUAGAGUAUACUAAGGGGCGCGAGAUAACUCUCUCUAAGGAACUCGGCAAAAUGACUCCGUAACUUCGGGAGAAGGAGUGCCUUAUUUAUAAGGUUGCAAUAACAAGAUCCAAGCAACUGUUUAUCAAAAACACAGGUCUCCGCUAAGUCGUAAGACGAUGUAUGGGGGCUGACGCCUGCCCAGUGCCAGAAGGUUAAAGAAGUUGGUUAGCAUUAGCGAAGCUGAUAACUGAAGCCCUGGUGAACGGCGGCCGUAACAAUAACGGUCCUAAGGUAGCGAAAUUCCUUGUCGGGUAAGUUCCGACCCGCACGAAAGGCGUAAUGAUUUGGAUACUGUCUCGGAGAGGGGCUCGGUGAAAUAGACUUGUCUGUGAAGAUGCGGACUACCUGCACCUGGACAGAAAGACCCUAUGAAGCUUUACUGUAACUUGAAAUUGAAAUUGGACUUUAUUUGCGCAGCAUAGGUGGGAGGCGUUGAAAAUAUUCUUGCGGGAAUAUCUGAGCCAUCAGUGAGAUACCACUCUUGUAAUGUUAGAUUUCUAACUUUGUAUCAUUAUCUGGUCAAAGAACAGUUUCAGGCGGGCAGUUUGACUGGGGCGGUCGCCUCCUAAACGGUAACGGAGGCGCACAAAGGUUUCCUCUGAACGGGUAGAAAUCGUAUCUAGAGUGUAAAGGCAUAAGGAAGCUUGACUGUGAGACCUACAAGUCGAGCAGGGACGAAAGUCGGUCUUAGUGAUCUGACGGUGCUGAGUGGAAAGGCCGUCACUCAACGGAUAAAAGUUACUCUAGGAUAACAGGCUGAUCUCCCCCAAGAGUUCACAUCGACGGGGAGGUUUGGCACCUCGAUGUCGGCUCAUCGCAUCCUGGGGCGGUAGUACGUCCCAAGGGUUGGGCUGUUCGCCCAUGAAAGCGGUACGCGAGCUGGGUUCAGAACGUCGUGAGACAGUUCGGUCCAUAUCCGGUGUAGGCGUUAGAAUAUUGAGAGGAGCCUUCUUUAGUACGAGAGGACCGAGAAGGACAUACCUCUGGUGUACCAGUUAUCGUGCCAACGGUAAACGCUGGGUAGCUAUGUAUGGAGAGGAUAACCGCUGAAAGCAUCUAAGUGGGAAGCCCACCUCAAGAUAAGUAUUCUCU
rnacentral:rRNA from 1 species